CCUACGGGAGGCUGCAGUCGAGGAUCUUCGGCAAUGCGCGCAAGCGCGACCGAGCGACGCCGCGUGGGCGACGAAGGCCUUCGGGUUGUAAAGCCCUGUCGAGGGGGAGAAAGCCGGCGCGAGCCGGCGGAUCCAUCCCUGGAGGAAGCUCGGGCUAAGUUCGUGCCAGCAGCCGCGGUAAGACGAACCGAGCGAACGUUGUUCGGAAUCACUGGGCUUAAAGGGCGCGUAGGCGGGCUGCCGCGUCCGGGGUGAAAUCCCACGGCUCAACCGUG
rnacentral:rRNA from 1 species